ACUGUGACCGAGGACAAGCUGAUGGCGUAAGAUACCCCAAGCAACUCUCCAACACUUCAUGGGCUGGAUGCUUCUUCUACACACAUCAUUCAAAGCGACACCUGUGCGUGCAUGUGCAGCGAGUGGCUGUGAUCUUGGAGUACCUGAGGCAGGUGUGGAAAGUUACUGUGACGGCAGACCAGAUGGAGCUCAUUGUUAUGGAACUUUGGGAGGAACUUUGGACAUCAAACUGACGGACAACACCUCAGAAAUAUUCAGAUUCCUACUGUCCAAGAAUACAUCAGUAAUAAAAUUCAGG